CGCCAUUUGUAAGGUAUCGAUGCUAGUGUGUUCAAUUGGUAGGAUUGUGUUGGUCUUAAAUGUGGUAAAAUGUUUUCCCUGUUUGUAGAAAGGACAUGGACAGCUUGUAGUGGACGUAUAACAAAGAGGUGUCGGAUGGCCUGGGUUGGAGCUGUGCGACGCAAAAACAUCACCUUUGGAAACAUAUCUCCGUUUAUGUAUGUCUGCUCUCGACAUUUUCAUAAAGGUCACCCUGCAUAUGAGAUGAUGGAGACUGACCCAGACUGGUCCCUCCAUCUGGGUCACACAGAAAUCUCUCGAUGUGCAACAGUGAUCGAGUACUCGACCGCGACAGCGAUGAUCGAUCACAUAAACGAUGAUCGAAAUGAUUAUUUUUUUAAAUAAUAAAACAAAAGACGUUAGAAGACAGAUAAUCAUGGCCUCAAAGUCACGUAAGUGAUGGCUGGUUUCCCUUUGAGAAGAACGAUGAAAAUACAGUUCAGGGUAAGCUGUACUGCGCCAAGCUGUCACAUACAUCUACAACAAAUAUAAUCC